rnacentral:rRNA from 1 species
CCUACGGGAGGCAGCAGUGAGGAAUAUUGGUCAAUGGGCGAGAGCCUGAACCAGCCAAGUCGCGUGAGGGAGUACUGCCCUAUGGGUUGUAAACCUCUUUUGUCGGGGAGCAAAAGCCGGACGUGUCCGGCUGUGAGAGUACCCGAAGAAAAAGCAUCGGCUAACUCCGUGCCAGCAGCCGCGGUAAUACGGAGGAUGCGCGCGUUAUCCGGAUUUAUUGGGUUGAAAGGGUGCGCAGGCGGAUUUUUAAGUCAGCGGUCAAAUCGUGGGGCUCAAACCCAUCCAGCCGUUGAAACUGGGGAUCUAGAGUGUGCGAGAGGUAGGCGGAAUGCGUGGUGUAGCGGUGAAAUGCAUAGAUAUCACGCAGAACCCCGAUUGCGAAGGCAGCAUACCGGUGCACAACUGACGCUGAGGCACGAAGGCCAGGGGAGCGAAAGGGAUUAGAUACCCUGGUAGUC